rnacentral:misc_RNA from 1 species
CCGAGUAUCGGGUGCCCUCGCGCCCUACUCCCCACCCUAUGCUUAUCUAUAACUGUUGCUUUGGCGGGCCGGUGGGUCACCCACCGCCGGGCGGCGCCUGGAGAGCGCCCGCCAGAGGACCAAGCAAAACUCUUCGUCAACGUGGUCGCAUCUGAGCACGCGAGAAUGAACAAA